UACGAAGGGGGCUAGCGUUGCUCGGAAUUACUGGGCGUAAAGGGCGCGUAGGCGGAUACUUAAGUAGAGGUGAAAAGCCCAGGGCUCAACCCUGGAAUAGCCUUUAAUACUGGGUAUCUUGAGUUCGGGAGAGGUGAGUGGAACUCCGAGUGAGAGGUGAAAUUCGUAGAUAUUCGGAAAGAACACCAGUGGCGAAGGCGACUCACUGGCCCGAUACUGACGCUGAGGCGCGAAAGCGUGGGGAGCAAA
rnacentral:rRNA from 1 species